GGGAGAAAAGACCCCGUGGAGCUUUACUGCAGCCUGUUGUUGAGACGUGGUUAGGGAUGCGGAGAGUAGGCGGGAGCGAGGAAGCCGUGGUUCCGGCCGCGGUGGAUGCGACGUUGAAACACCGCCUGAAGGG
rnacentral:rRNA from 1 species